ensembl:antisense 2900009J06Rik RIKEN cDNA 2900009J06 gene
CCCACGCGCACGCGCAGGGACCCGCCCUGCCGGCUCGCGCUGGUCUUUUGCUUUCUCUUUCCGGCCUCCCUCCCCUUUCUCUCUCUCGGACCCGCGGGACCACAAUGCUCUGCGCCUCUUGUCAUUGGGAGACGCCGUAAAGUGGGGGUCACUCGGAAAGAAAAGAAUUCCAUGGAUAACAGAAAAAACCCAAGAGUUGGUGCUGUGUUCCCAACCCUAGUCCAGCACAAACCUACGAGCCAAGGCAGCCAGUAUUUGGCCAUUCGUCCAUCCAUCUGCAUAUCCCAGGGAUGCACGAACAGAGAACAGUUCAGCCUCUCGGCCGCCUUCAAUAGAGCAACGAGAAAGAAGUUAUCUGGGGGAGACUGCUUUUCCUCAUCUGAUUCUAUAUUGACCUGAAUAAAUAAGCUUAAAUACUUCUGAAGUUCCUUCUUGAUCUAUAUAAAAGAUUCCUUGACCAAUUUAGUCCUGCUUGAAAAAAUAAAAAAGAUUAACCAG